GACGAACGCUGGCGGCGUGCUUAACACAUGCAAGUCGAACGGAAAGGCCCUGCUUUUGUGGGGUGCUCGAGUGGCGAACGGGUGAGUAACACGUGAGUAACCUGCCCUUGACUUUGGGAUAACUUCAGGAAACUGGGGCUAAUACCGGAUAGGAGCUCCUGCUGCAUGGUGGGGGUUGGAAAGUUUCGGCGGUUGGGGAUGGACUGGCGGCUUAUCAGCUUGUUGGUGGGGUAGUGGCUUACCAAGGCUUUGACGGGUAGCCGGCCUGAGAGGGUGACCGGCCCCAUUGGGCCUGGGAUACGGCCCAGACUCCUACGGGAGGCAGCAGUGGGGAAUAUUGCACAAUGGGCGGAAGCCUGAUCCAGCAACGCCGCGUGCGGGAUGACGUCCUUCGGGUUGUAUACCGCUUUCGCCUGUGCCGAAGCGUGAGUGACGGUAAUGGGUAAAGAAGCACCGGCUAACUACGUG
rnacentral:rRNA from 1 species